AUUGAUGAAAUGGUUUAUCUUGUCAG
rnacentral:piRNA from 1 species